GAUAAGAUCAUUAUUAGUAGGAUUUUGUGUGUAUUUGAGAUGGGCGACGAUCCAAUCAUUACAUAUACAACGUAGGGUUCCCGUCCGUGUUGUCAAAUUCGACUCAAAACUGGAUAUUUCACCUGUGCUGCAGAUUGCGUUGUUAGGCACACCUCAAGGCGAUAGACUCGACCGUGGAGAGGCAGUCUGCGGAUUGUUUUUCAGAACAAGAAAUCUACACGUAGAAGAGGCAAAGUGCAAAGUACUGUGUUAAAGUUACGAUCAACUUUUUAAAGUAACCAACUAAAAGAAGUUACUGCACCAACGGGGCACCAUGUCGUUUAGUCGAGCAAAUGAGACGAAUGACUGUACAGAGUUGCCGUUUGAAAACAGCAUGACAGAUCAUGUCAUUGGGGCCAAUGUCUCUCCAGAAAAUCCGAUUGAAGAUUUAGAUGCACCUGGAGCAGGAGAUGAAACUGAACCAUUGCUUGGUGCUUCCAGCACUGCUGAUGAAGUUGGCAAUGAUGCGAGCUCUGUGGAGCCUGAGCGGCACUUGAAUCGCCGCAAAACUGGCUGUUGUUUGAGAGGUUUUAAUGUUUUUUCAUCAUUGAGAAAAAUAUUUGAUAAAAAUGAUUCAGUUCCACAAGAAAGAGGAAAAGGGGGGUUGGAAAAAUCCGUACCUGAAAAACAUGCUGUGGGGGUUGGCGAAAAAGCAAAAGAACAUCCAUCAGAUCCUUGUGAGGCUCGUCACUAUACGAGCGUCCAGGGAGAUGGCAACAAGUUUGUAUCAGUUCCACCUGGAUAUCAGGGCAAUCUGACUGUGAAUUUUUCAUAAAUACAUUCCAUAUUGUGUGAAAUUGUCCGUUCAUGUUCACCUUCAUAUUAACGCAAGUGCCUCAAAAGGGAAAGCCUCUUCUUUAGUUUUUUUAUGCAUGUAUUUUUAGGUGGACAAGAUUGUAAUUUUAAUACUCAAUUA